rnacentral:rRNA from 1 species
AUUGAACGCUGGCGGCAGGCCUAACACAUGCAAGUCGAACGAGAGGCGGACGGGUGAGUAAUGUCUGGGAAACUGCCAGAUGGAGGGGGAUAACUACUGGAAACGGUAGCUAAUACCGCAUACCAUCGGAUGUGCCCAGAUGGGAUUAGCUAGUAGGUGGGGUAACGGCUCACCUAGGCGACGAUCCCUAGCUGGUCUGAGAGGAUGACCAUCCACACUGGAACGGAGACACAGUCCAGACUCCUACGGGAGGCAGCAGUGAGGAAUAUUGCACAAUGGGCUCAAGCCUGAUGCAGCCAUGCCGCGUGUAUGAAAAAGGCCUUCGGGUUGUAAAGUACUUUCAGCGAAAAAGCGUUACUCGCAUUAGAAGCACCGGCUAACUCCGUGCCAGCAGCCGCGGUAAUAC